UUACAGGCAUGCACCACCACACCAGGCUAAUUUUGCUCUUUCAUUGUUGUUUCUUGUUUGUUUUUCACAAAUAGGACUUCUUAUUUGCUACCGUUUUAAGUCUGAACUUUAAACAGAUUCUUGGACUGGUGGUUCACAUCCAUCAGCUCAUUCAACUUCAGCAUGUGUCUCGUCCCUAGUGGGUUUUCCAGAACUACUACCUUCACCACGAAGCUCCAUGCCUUUCAAAUCCAGAGUUCUCCAGCAUUUUUACUUUUCUAAUGAAGACAACAUGGAGAGGAUAAAUUGGCAAGCCUUUUCUAUAUCUUUUCCAAUGUUGUCUGGAAUCAAUUUAUUGACCACUUCUUUCAAGUCAUUUGUCUGCACCUCUCAGGUCAUGAUUUCCAUCAUCUUCUUCUGGAUUUGGCGGACUGUUGGUGCUGAUCAUAAGAGGUCUUCAGUAUCUGAUUGUUGUGUUUUUUAGUAAAACCAACACAAAACAGAUGAAAGAAGUAACCAUCGGUAGUCUUGACAUCAACAUGAGCUUCAAUCAUUGUUGAACAUUUUUCAACCAUGGAACAUAUUUUGUCACAGGUUCUCCAGAGAAAGAGCAGAGAGAUAGAGGUAGAGCUAUACACAUAGAGAGAGACAGAUUGAUUUGUUGUAAGGGAUGGCUCACAUGGUUAUGGAGGCUAAGGAGUCCUGGAGUCUGCAGUCAGCAAGCUGGAGACCCAAGACGGCCAAUGAUAUAGUUCCAACUCGAGUCCACAUCUAAAUUCAGGAGAAGAUUGAUGUCCCAGCUCAAAUAUAAUCAGGAUCAACCACCAUCAUGAAUGACACAGUAACUACCUGGACCAGGAAGUUCAUGACCAAUCGACCGCUCCAGAGGAAACAAAUGGUC